rnacentral:rRNA from 1 species
UGCAGUCGAACGGAAACGAUGCUAGCUUGCUAGCAGGCGUCGAGUGGCGGACGGGUGAGUAAUAUAUAGGGAUCUGCCUAAUAGUGGGGGACAACAUGUGGAAACGCAUGCUAAUACCGCAUACGCUCUACGGAGGAAAGUGGGGGACCUUUAGGGGCCUCAUGCUAUUAGAUGAACCUAUAUCGGAUUAGCUAGUUGGUAAGGUAAUGGCCUACCAAGGCGACGAUCCGUAGCUGGUUUGAGAGAAUGAUCAGCCACACUGGGACUGAGACACGGCCCAGACUCCUACGGGAGGCAGCAGUGGGGAAUAUUGCACAAUGGACGCAAGUCUGAUGCAGCAAUGCCGCGUGUGUGAAGAAGGCCUUCGGGUUGUAAAGCACUUUCAGAUGUGAGGAAAAGCGAUUUAUUAAUACUAAAUUGCCGUGACGUUAACAUCAGAAGAAGGACCGGCUAACUCCGUGCCAGCAGCCGCGGUAAUACGGAGGGUCCAAGCGUUAAUCGGAAUUACUGGGCGUAAAGCGCGCGUAGGCGGAUAAUUAAGUCAGAUGUGAAAUCCCUGGGCUCAACCUAGGAACUGCAUUUGAUACUGGUUAUCUAGAGUAUGG